GGUCACGGGUAGGGGUUUCUUUCGGCCUCCAGCAGCAUUAGACAGUUGUAGGCCGGCGGAAACUACUUGCUCGAGAUC
rnacentral:pre_miRNA from 1 species